rnacentral:rRNA from 1 species
UACGUAGGGCGCAAGCGUUGUCCGGAAUUAUUGGGCGUAAAGAGCUCGUAGGCGGUUUGUUACGUCCGCUGUGAAAACCCAGGGCUUAACCCUGGGCUUGCAGUGGAUACGGGCAGACUAGAGGCAGGUAGGGGAGAAUGGAAUUCCCGGUGUAGCGGUGAAAUGCGCAGAUAUCGGGAGGAACACCGGUGGCGAAGGCGGUUCUCUGGGCCUGACCUGACGCUGAGGAGCGAAAGCGUGGGGAGCGAGCAGG